rnacentral:rRNA from 1 species
CCUACGGGAGGCAGCAGUGGGGAAUAUUUGGCAAUGGGCGCAAGCAUGACCCAGCAACGCCGCGUGAAGGAAGAAGGCUUUCGGGUUGUACACUUCUUUUGUCAGGGAAGAGUAGAAGACGGUACCUGACGAAUAAGCCACGGCUAACUACGUGCCAGCAGCCGCGGUAAUACGUAGGUGGCAAGCGUUGUCCGGAGUUACUGGGUGUAAAGGGCGUGUAGCCGGGUUGACAAGUCAGAUGUGAAAUCCUGCGGCUUAACCGCAGAACUGCAUUUGAAACUGUUGAUCUUGAGUACUGGAGAGGCAGACGGAAUUCCUAGUGUAGCGGUGAAAUGCGUAGAUAUUAGGAGGAACACCAGUGGCGAAGGCGGUCUGCUGGACAGCAACUGACGGUGAGGCGCGAAAGCGUGGGGAGCAAACAGGAUUAGAUACCCCAGUAGUC